rnacentral:rRNA from 1 species
CGCGAUUCGCCUUGAGUUUGAUAUGGCUCAGGAUGAACGCUGGCGGCGUGCUUAACACAUGCAAGUCGAACGGUGAAGCUGGAGCUUGCUCCAGUGGAUCAGUGGCGAACGGGUGAGUAACACGUGAGUAACCUGCCCUUGACUCUGGGAUAAGCGUUGGAAACGACGUCUAAUACCGGAUACGAGCUUCAGUCGCAUGGCUAGGAGCUGGAAAGAAUUUCGGUCAAGGAUGGACUCGCGGCCUAUCAGCUAGUUGGUGAGGUAACGGCCCACCAAGGCGACGACGGGUAGCCGGCCUGAGAGGGUGACCGGCCACACUGGGACUGAGACACGGCCCAGACUCCUACGGGAGGCAGCAGUGGGGAAUAUUGCACAAUGGGCGCAAGCCUGAUGCAGCAACGCCGCGUGAGGGACGACGGCCUUCGGGUUGUAAACCUCUUUUAGUAGGGAAGAAGCGAAAGUGACGGUACCUGCAGAAAAAGCGCCGGCUAACUACGUGCCAGCAGCCGCGGUAAUACGUAGGGCGCGAGCGUUAUCCGGAAUUAUUGGGCGUAAAGAGCUCGUAGGCGGUUUGUCACGUCUGCUGUGAAAACUGGAGGCUCAACCUCCAGCCUGCAGUGGGUACGGGCAGACUAGAGUGCGGUAGGGGAGAUUGGAAUUCCUGGUGUAGCGGUGGAAUGCGCAGAUAUCAGGAGGAACACCGAUGGCGAAGGCAGAUCUCUGGGCCGUAACUGACGCUGAGG